CUACGGGGUGCAGCAGUGGGGAAUAUUGCACAAUGGGCGCAAGCCUGAUGCAGCCAUGCCGCGUGUAUGAAGAAGGCCUUCGGGUUGUAAAGUACUUUCAGCGGGGAGGAAGGGAGUAAAGUUAAUACCUUUGCUCAUUGACGUUACCCGCAGAAGAAGCACCGGCUAACUCCGUGCCAGCAGCCGCGGUAAUACGGAGGGUGCAAGCGUUAAUCGGAAUGACUGGGCGUAAAGCGCACGCAGGCGGUUUGUUAAGUCAGAUGUGAAAUCCCCGGGCUCAACCUGGGAACUGCAUCUGAUACUGGCAAGCUUGAGGCUCGUAGAGGGGAGUAGAAUUCCAGGUGUAGCGGUGAAAUGCGUAGAGAUCUGGAGGAAUACCGGUGGCGAAGGCGGCCCCCUGGACGAAGACUGACGCUCAGGUGCGAAAGCGUGGGGAGCAAACAGGAUUAGAUACCCCAGUAGUC
rnacentral:rRNA from 1 species